UAGAGAGCAAGAUGGGAGGAAAGAACUUGCCACGUUAGGCUACAGUGGGUUUAAGGAAAUCAUAAGAAUUUCAGAGGGCCUGAAAAAACUUGACAAAAGGCUCCAUGUACGUUGGUUGGACAAGAAAUGCUGUACACAGACAUUCAGCUGAACAUGCAUCCUUCAGAAAUCCUUUGCUAUUGACCCUGUGCAAUGUUGAAGAAUUUGGCUAGUCCACGUUCAUCAAUUUGGAGCAACUGUUUAGGAGGCCAUUGCCCCUGAAGAUAUCUCCAGGUCCCAGGGACGUGACUCACUCGGGGCACGUGGUGGACUCCAGCAGUCUCUCCUGUUCAACUUGCUGAGUGAAAAUGAGCGAAUGGAGGUAGAAGAAUCCAGGUCUGCACACCAAAUUCACCUUCUGGGACAGGAACAUUAAUUUAUUUGACAGCACUGUGUGGAAGCGGUGUGGUGGUUUCAUUUUCCCCUUCCACAAUCGGCCUUUUCCAUUUGUAUGGGAAACAAACCAUUUCUGUGAAAGAUCCCCAGAUCUCUCGGCAAGCCAGGUCCAAGCUGGAGUACAUUAGCAUCCUUCCAUUAGUGUGACUUGGAAUUUAGACAGGCUGAAGGUCAAAUGAAGCGAACUGAUCUUAAACUCCCAGAACAAAGAAAGAGAAACAAGAGGGCAGGUAUGUUGUCUAAAAUAUUGCCAAGUUAUUUAAUAAACUAACUUAAAUUUAAAUUGGUAGCCUUUUAAAUUUGGCAGCUUUGCUUGAUACUGGGCAAACUUCAGAAAUUUGCAACAUUGCAUUGGGUGAAUCUGUCCCAUUUUCUUCCAAUAGCAUUUUAAACUGUUUCACCUUGUGAGUGGACAGGUCUGACUCAGAGGCCCUGUAUCCAAGUAUCCUGAAAGAUAUUGCAUAUACCCUCCUGCUUUUCUCCUUCAAGACCUGAAGAGACUGCUGUGACCACAUUGCAUGUUAUGCUUCAAAGAACACUAUACAAAAUUACUCAAGUCAGGCCUGGAUCAGUUGCGUUACCGAUGUGUGAGCUAAGGCAUCCUGGUGAGGAGACCUUCAAUCCUGAAUCAAAGGACGGAGGGUCUGUCCUACAAAAGCUGAUUCGGACGUGAGACUGAGCAUCUCUAAACCAGACAUACAGGAUUGUGUCCUCUCCAUCAUCCCCAAGAUGUGCCAGAAGACUUGCAGUGUGUGAGAUGUUUGGUUGCCAGCAGAGAACCUUGAUUAUCAAAGACAAUGCUGCUAUAGAGUACAAAUGUACAUUUGUAUGGCAUUUGGCUCAGAUUCUUCCAGAAGAAGAUAAGUGAGCAAUUCUCCUUUGGCUAGCCAUUAAAAUGGAAUCCCCAAAUAAACUCAGUAGUUCAAGGCCAGCACUUCUCAUGGCUGUGAGUGAAGAGAGCUGGUUACAGCUUCUUUUUUUAUCCCUGUUAGAUGGUCAAGAGCUUAAAGCAAACACAAUACCAGGAAGGGAACAGACAUGGAUGGGGCUGGAUUCAGGCAACACAUGAAUGGAAGGCACAUGUAAGCCUCUAUCCCAUCGUAUUCUUCACAUUGUGAGUAACCAUACAAAAUGGACAAUGAGUAUUUGCUACGUUUUUGUGGUUAAGCUUCAUUUCCAUUUCUUUCUACUCUCUUUCAGGUUUUGUAUAGCUGUUACUCUGACACAAAACUUUCUUGAGGGGUGAACAGUAGGUGACCAAGUUGUAUCCCUAAAUACAGAUAUCUAGUGCUGUCAGGUGUCUUCGCAUGGUGGGUUGCCCCAGGCCAACAGCCAAAUGCCUGCCAAUGCACUCGCUCACUCUCCCCCAGCAGGAUGGAGAGAAAGUAGAUGGCAAAAAGGCUUGCAGGUAGAGAAUGAUGGCUAAAUAGGGAAAGCAAGAGCUGUGUGCCCAAGCAAAGCAAAAAGAGGAAUUUGUUCACUAUUUCCCAGCAGCAGGCAGAUGUUCAGCCUUUUUGAGGAAAGCAGGGUUUUGUCACACAUAACAGUUACUUGGGUAGACAAAUGCCAUAACCACAAAAGUCUGCUUCCCAUUCCUUCUCCUUUCCCUAAGCUUUUAUUAAUGAGCACAAUGCCAUAUGGUAUGGGAUAUCCCUCUGGUCAGCUGGGCUUAGCUGUCCCAGCUGUGUUCCCUCCCGGUUUCUUCUGGACCCCCAGCUUAUACGCUGGGGAGCACAGUGGGAAAGAGAGAACACUUUGAUGCUGUGCAAGUUCUGUUCACAGAUAAUGAAAACACCAGUGUCUUAUCAGCACUGUUUCAACCACCAUUUCAAAGCAUGGCACCAUACAGGUGGCUAUGAAGAAAGUCCCCUCCAUCCCAGCCAGUUCCAGUACCCCAGGGCACUCACAGGGGGCUGGCAUGUAAGGGUCAGGACCUGCCAAAGCCUGCAGGCUACUGAGGCAGCAGGAGCAGGUAAAUGCCAGGCAGGAUGCCCUGAAACACCUAAGGCAAAAAUAGCUAUUUUAGACAUGCCUAUAUUAUGUAUCACUUUGGAUCUUGCCUUUAUCUCCUUCCUGUUAGGUUUUUACCUCCUGUGAAUGCUGCAUUGUGGUGAUCCCUGUUUGAUACCACUGUUGAGUGAAGAAACAGCUUCAGAACAUAACAAGCAUUUGUUGGGAUAAUGUAUGUGAGGUAUGCGCAUGUGGAUAUUCAUCUAUCUAGCCACUGAUAAUAAUGUUUUAGCCCAGAUGAACCCAUUUCUAGUCCUGCCAGAGAUGUUGGUAUCACAUAGUGUGGAUCACUUAUAGAGGCCUUGCGUCUUCCACAGCAAAUUCUACCGAGGUACAAGGCACAUAGGCAAAGAAGCAUAAGCUGGCAAGUAAUUUCAAGUCCUGGGACAUGACUUUGUGUAUCUAGUGCAGAGGAGCAGUUGGCAUGACAUCUUUAUGUCUACUCUGUUAGUACCAAAACACUUGCAGCCAGAUAGGAGUUUAGAUGCUGAAAUACUUUUGGUGCUCUGAAUGUAAACUGUAAGUCCACGUAAACAUUAUUUCUAGUGAAAAAUUUAUUUGCUAUAAGCUAAGGAGGAGAAUGUAAUUUACAUAGUCCAGAAGAAUUAUAACACUUGACAUCCUUUUACUGGCUGGUAGGUAGCAUUUCUGGUUUAAGUAUUGCUUCAGAAAGGAUUUGAGUAAGUCAUACUUAAGGAGCAUUUAAUAACAAGAGAAGAGGACAAAUGGAAUUUAACCUGUCUAGACAACUGUAUCUGCAUGGAGUAACUCUGUCUGGCAGUAUAAAACUCUAGACGCAGAAGACGUAGAUCUCAAGAUUUGAUCCCACAAAUAAAUUAGCUUUCCAUUUCAAAAGGAAACAUUUGGAAGCAUGGGACAGUCACCCUUGACUUGUCCAGGGGCGCCUCUGCUGCUGUGGAAAUCCAGCAACUUCACCAACAAGCCUGUCCCACCUUUUCCUAGAUGAGAUGUCUCCAGUUGCUCCAGUUGCUUCAGGUCAGGGACAUCACUACCAAUGGCUUCCCGAGUGAAACUCUCCCAUCUAGGCAGGCCCUUGCUUUCAAACUGUUUGAUAAUUUAUUAGCACCUAAAUGCUGUUGAAAAACACAUCAUUCAUAGCUUUAGCACCAAAGUAAGUGUUAAAUGGCUGGCAGGAGGGCUAUCUGCAGGAACAUGGCUGGUGUUUAACACCUAAUUAUCACUUUCCAGGGUCCUCUGGCUAAAUAAUUGAG